rnacentral:lncRNA from 1 species
AGGUACAAAGUUGCGGCUGCUAGAAGAACCAUGAAGCAGCUUGAUUGCUUUGAUUCCUUUCAAGGAAUUGUUGAUCAGCUUCAGAUGCUGGAGCCGCGGAUACGAGCUUCCUACCACAAGUACCUCAACCUCAGUGGCGAAACUCUAGCGUGGAUGAUGGCCAUUGAUGUCUCUUUCUUGCUUGAGUUUCUUGAAGUCUACGCGAGAAAGGAGGGGAAGCUGCUUUCCAGGCGGACUUCAAGAUUAACUUCGAAUCUUGUUGAUUCUGCAGGAAGAAAGUCAACGCAUAUUGCAAUCCUUAGGGAUAUCUUGAUGCUUGAGAAUCAAAUUCCUAUGUUCUUACUGAGAAAGAUGCUCGAGCUUGAAUUGGGAUCGUUGGUUGCAGCUGAUGACAUGCUGCUUUCCAUGUUAAGGGGUUUGUCAAUUGAGCUAUAUCCAUUCAAAACCCCGGAAGAAUUACCAAUUCUUCUUAUGGAAGAUUCUACUCACGUUCUUGAUUUCUUUUACCGCCUCCUGAUGCCCAAGGCUUUUCGGAGAUCCCAAAUUACUGAGGGUGAAGAAAUUUAUGAAGCAAACAAAGAAGAGGAAGAAAUCAUCAUCGACGAGGAAUCACAGAGCAGAGUCUUAAAGUUCUUCAAUUUUAUAUGGAGGACACUGUCAAAGCUAAAUUUUCAUCCGAUACGUCUUUUCAAGGCAUUACUCAACUCCAAAAUACUAAAGGUGUUACUUAAGAUGCCAUGGACCGUCAUCACAAAACUUCCGGUGCUUAACAUGUUAAAAGAGCCCAUUGAAAACAUGUUUAUGCGAGAAGAUAAAGAAGAUCUGAAGCCUGAAAACGACAGCAUUGUUCGUCCUCCACGGAUCGAGGAACUUACAAUCCCUUCUGUCACCGUGUUAGCCAAAUCCGGGGUCCGCUUUGUCCCAACCGAUGGCGGAAUUUGCAGCACUGAUUUCAAUGUAAAAACACGCACUCUGAGUCUGCCUAGAGUAAACCUAGACGUGAACACUGAUAUCAUCAUGAGAAACAUGGUAGCAUACGAGUCAUGCAAUGCCUCAGGGCCUCUAAUUUUCGCCCGCUACACAGAGUUUAUGAACGGUAUUGUCGAUACACCAGAUGAUGCGAAAUUUCUCAGAGAAAAUGGAAUUAUUUUUAACCGGUUGAAGAGUGAUGAGGAGGUGGCGAAUUUGUGGAAUGGGAUGAGCAGGUCAGUGAAAUUGACGAAAGUGCCCUUUUUAGAUAAGGUGGUGGAGGAUGUGAACAAGUACUACAAUGGAAGGUGGAAGGUUAAAGCUGAGAAAGCCAUCAGGGGGUAUAUAUAUGGUUCCUGGAGGAUUCUUACAGUGCUGGCCUGUAUUAUGCUUCUGGGUUUGCUUGGUUUACAAACUGUUUGCUCGGUUUAUACUUGUUCCAGUGUGAUUCGCAAGUAUGCCACUCCUGAUGAGGCUGCUGAGCCGUGAUCUUAUUCAUUUGCGUACAUGCAUGCUUCCUACUUACUUUCUUCUUAAGAGGCUCGCGCUCAAAUGAGAACCGUUGUUGUCGAGUAUUGAUAUGUACCAGAAAAAUCCAUAACAUGUAUAACCAGGGUGUGUUACUGAGUGCUUUGUCUUUAAGCCUAAAACUGUUCUUAAUCAUCUAUCUCUAUGUUGGUUGCAUUAUUAUCUUCUGUUUUGAUGUAACUUGUGUUGUGUCUUGAGCAUUUCGGUCAAAUAUUCUACUGUAACAAAUUUGUAUUUAGAUAGCUGUUGAAAGUUUUGCGCCACUCUCCCACGUCCUUGGAAAAGUCAUCAUUAAUUUAUUAUUUUAACGCUAACAUAAAGUGAUGUCAAUUAUAAAAAGACGACGAAUGUAUAAAUUUCAAAGUGAAGUAUGUGUGUGUGUGUGGAGGGACCAAUAUGAUCAUGUAUGUCUGUUAUGGGGCUUGGUCAGGGAUUUACUGCACUGCUAUGCUUGUAAUGUAUGCAUUUCAAACCUCUUUCUCUAUUAAUUCUUUCAACUAUUUUGCCCUAAUGUUUGCAGUAAAUUUCCACGUCACGAGUCUAUACAUUUUUUUCAAUUAUUUAUCACAUAUAAUUUUUUUAAAAAAAUAUAAUUUCAUAAUUUAUUUUUUAAAUUUUUUACUUUUGAAUAAAACUUAAACAUUAAAUAUUUAUUAAAAAGAGAAAAAAGAACUUAUGAAAUCAUAUUUUAUAAGAACUAUAAAAGUUCUCAAACAUUUUGUAGGAAAUUUCUUCCUCAAGAAAUAAAUUCGAUGACUAUCUUUAUUAUUGAUAGAGUAUCAAAUUUAAUGACGCCUAUCAUAAAUUUUAUCGGUAGGAAACUUGUCUUCAAAAUUUGACUGACCCCUUGUUAUAAAUUUGACCAUUCUUCAUAUUUAACGACAGUCAAAUUUAUUCGAUCAUAUUUAAUUUUGAUUUUUUUAUUUUGGGCGUUGAUCUUAAAGAUGAUCGAAAACAGUUAUGUUUAAAAUCGAUCAUAUUUAAUCAGUCAUUUUUAUCCAUUUUAGUGAGUUUAUAUUUUAUGCUUUGCCUAAACUUAUACUCCGUAUCAUCUUAUCAUCAAUAAUAAUGGUUACCGUGGGCUAUAUAUUGCAUAAAAAGGACAAGCACAUGAAAAUGUGAUAGACAAUGAUGUUACCGGAAGUUAUCGAUGGUUCCACAUUUGUGGUCUCACCAGGAAAUCAAUCAAGAACAACCCUCACUCAGUCAGGCUAGCUACAUCAGGGAUGAUGCAUGUGCAGGUAUACACAUCUUCCUUCUAUUCUCUCUUCUACUAAUUAGUCUCUAAAACAAACCAGUCCUUUUCAUUCCUCAUAUGUAAUGGGACUCUGUAGCCAAAAUUAUGUAGAUGUUUGUGUAUUAACUCAGUUGAAGAUUUUUCAUUCAUUAACUUCUCCAUGUCGGAUACAAAAUAAAUUUUCCACACUGAUAAUGAGAGUUGAGCCUGGACUUCAGCCUCCCGGCAAUAAUGCAGAUGGUGAAAUGUAUUUCUACACAAUGUGACAGUUUGCUUAUUUUGCUAAGUAGACGACAGUUUCAUUUAAGCACUUAUUUACACACCACCAAUCAAAACCCUAAAAAUCAAAUGCCUCAUCUUCUUAUCCUGUUUAGUUUCAUACCAUGCAUACAUUCACUUCUUUAUAUAUUUACUUAGUAGCUUAACUAUUUUAGUCCCAGCAGCCCUGCUAGUAAUUAGCUCUUCUAAAAAUAUAAAAACCAUGUCCAGUUCAUCGUUUACUUCGGCUACACAGACUGUCCGCUCUAACAGCAGCAGUAAUUUGAAUGAACAUGGAUGGGUAGUUCAGAUUCGUAAAACUCUUGACGAACAAUUUGAAGAAGAUAAUAAUGAAAUCCCUGUUAGUAUCUUCAGUGUUCCCACAACCCUCCUUCACACAAAUCCUGAGGCUUAUACUCCCCAACAAGUGGCAUUAGGACCGUACCAUCAUUGGCGUCAAGAGCUUUACGAGAUGGAAAGGUACAAAAUAGCAGCCGCGAGAAGGACCAUGAAGCACCUCCAAUGCUUUAAUAAUUUUCAAGAAAUUGUUGAUCAGAUUCAGGCGCUUGAGUCAACAAUUCGAGCUUCCUACCACAAGUACCUCAACGUUCAGGGUGAAACUUUAGCAUGGAUGAUGGCUAUAGAUGUGGCUUUCUUGCUUGAGUUCCUUGAAGUUUACGCGAGGAAAGAUGGUAAAUUACUUACUAGGGC